rnacentral:rRNA from 1 species
GGCGGCGUGGUUGAUACAUGCAAGUCGAGCGGGAAAGAAUCCUUCGGGAUUCGAGUACAGCGGCGGACGGGUGAGUAACGCGUGAUCAACCUGCCCUCGGGACGGGGAUAGCCACUCGAAAGGGUGGGUAAUACCCGAUAUGACCACAACCUCGCAUGGGGUUGGGGUAAAAAGGUUGGGCUCUUCGGACCUUCUGCCCGGGGAUGGGAUCGCGUCCUAUUAGCUUGUUGGUGGGGUAACGGCCUACCAAGGCGGCGAUGGGUAGCCGGCCUGAGAGGGUGGACGGCCACAUUGGGACUGAGACACGGCCCAGACUCCUACGGGAGGCAGCAGUGCUGAAUCAUCCGCCAAUGCGCGAAAGCGUGACGGUGCGACGCCGCGUGGAGGAUGAAGGCCUUCGGGUCGUAAACUCCUGUCAGGAUCUAGGAAACCGCAGUGGUGAAUAAUCGCUGCGCUGACCCGAUCCAGAGGAAGCACAGGCUAAUUUCGUGCCAGCAGCCGCGGUAACACGAAAUGUGCGAGCGUUGCUCGGUAUUACUGGGCAUAAAGGGUUCGUAGGCGGUUUUGUAAGUCGGAUGUGAAAGCCCCCGGCUCAACCGGGGAAUUGCACCCGAUACUGCAUGACUUGAGGGUAAAAGGGGCAAGCGGAAUUCCAGGUGUAGCGGUGGAAUGCGUAGAUAUCUGGGAGAACGCCGAAGGCGAAGGCAGCUUGCUGGGUUACCCCUGACGCUGAGGAACGAAAGCUAGGGGAGCAAACAGGAUUAGAUACCCUGGUAGUCCUAGCUGUAAACGUUGGGCACUUUGUGGCGGGAGACCUGAUCUUUCGCUGCAGAAGCUAACGCAUUAAGUGCCCCGCCUGGGGAGUAUGGUCGCAAGGCUAAAACUCAAAGGAAUUGACGGGGGCUCACACAAGCGGUGGAGCAUGUUGUUUAAUUCGAAGCAACGCGAAGAACCUUACCUGGGCUUGACAUGCAGCUGCUCAUCCGGUGAAAGCCGGACUCCUUCGAGGGUGCUGCACAGGUGCUGCAUGGCUGUCGUCAGCUCGUGUCGUGAGACGUUGGGUUAAGUCCCGUAACGAGCGAAACCCCUGUCGCCUGUUGCUACCGGGUAAUGCCGGGCACUCUGGCGAGACUGCCGGUGUCAAACCGGAGGAAGGUGGGGACGACGUCAAGUCAUCAUGGUCCUUACGCCCAGGGCUACAAACGUGCUACAAUGGCUGGUACAGAGAGAAGCGAAGCCGCGAGGUGGAGCAAAUCUUCAAAGCCGGCCCCAGUUCGGAUUGGAGGCUGCAAUUCGCCUCCAUGAAGUCGGAAUCGCUAGUAAUCGCGGAUCAGCAAUGCCGCGGUGAAUAUGUUCCUGAGCCUUGUACACACCGCCCGUCAAGCCACCCAAGCUGGAAGCACCCGAAGUCCGGCGCCAAUAGUCCGGCCGAAGG